GGUUAAUAUUCCUGUACUUGGUGUUACUGCGAAGGGGGGACGGAGAAGGCUAUGUUAGCCGGGCGACGGUUGUCCCGGUUUAAGCAUGUAGGCUGAUUGUCCAGGCAAAUCCGGAUAAUCAAGGCUGAGGUGUGAUGACGAGGCACUACGGUGCUGAAGUAACAAAUGCCCUGCUUCCAGGAAAAGCCUCUAAGCAUCAGGUAACAUCAAAUCGUACCCCAAACCGACACAGGUGGUCAGGUAGAGAAUACCAAGGCGCUUGAGAGAACUCGGGUGAAGGAACUAGGCAAAAUGGUGCCGUAACUUCGGGAGAAGGCACGCUGGUGUGUAGGUGAAGCCCCUGCGGGUGGAGCUGAGACCAGUCGAAGAUACCAGCUGGCUGCAACUGUUUAUUAAAAACACAGCACUGUGCAAACACGAAAGUGGACGUAUACGGUGUGACGCCUGCCCGGUGCCGGAAGGUUAAUUGAUGGGGUUAUCCGUAAGGAGAAGCUCUUGAUCGAAGCCCCGGUAAACGGCGGCCGUAACUAUAACGGUCCUAAGGUAGCGAAAUUCCUUGUCGGGUAAGUUCCGACCUGCACGAAUGGCGUAAUGAUGGCCAGGCUGUCUCCACCCGAGACUCAGUGAAAUUGAACUCGCUGUGAAGAUGCAGUGUACCCGCGGCAAGACGGAAAGACCCCGUGAACCUUUACUAUAGCUUGACACUGAACAUUGAGCCUUGAUGUGUAGGAUAGGUGGGAGGCUUUGAAGCGUGGACGCCAGUCUGCGUGGAGCCAACCUUGAAAUACCACCCUUUAAUGUUUGAUGUUCUAACGUUGGCCCCUUACCGGGGUUGCGGACAGUGUCUGGUGGGUAGUUUGACUGGGGCGGUCUCCUCCCAAAGCGUAACGGAGGAGCACGAAGGUUAGCUAAUCCUGGUCGGACAUCAGGAGGUUAGUGCAAUGGCAUAAGCUAGCUUGACUGCGAGCGUGACGGCGCGAGCAGGUGCGAAAGCAGGUCAUAGUGAUCCGGUGGUUCUGAAUGGAAGGGCCAUCGCUCAACGGAUAAAAGGUACUCCGGGGAUAACAGGCUGAUACCGCCCAAGAGUUCAUAUCGACGGCGGUGUUUGGCACCUCGAUGUCGGCUCAUCACAUCCUGGGGCUGAAGUAGGUCCCAAGGGUAUGGCUGUUCGCCAUUUAAAGUGGUACGCGAGCUGGGUUUAGAACGUCGUGAGACAGUUCGGUCCCUAUCUGCCGUGGGCGCUGGAGAAUUGAGGGGGGCUGCUCCUAGUACGAGAGGACCGGAGUGGACGCAUCACUGGUGUUCGGGUUGUCAUGCCAAUGGCACUGCCCGGUAGCUAAAUGCGGAAGAGAUAAGUGCUGAAAGCAUCUAAGCACGAAACUUGCCCCGAGAUGAGUUCUCCCUGAGACUAUAAGUCUCCUGAAGGAACGUUGAAGACGACGACGUUGAUAGGCCGGGUGUGUAAGCGCAGCGAUGCGUUGAGCUAACCGGUACUAAUGAACCGUGAGGCUUAACCUU
rnacentral:rRNA from 1 species